CGCUUAUGGAGAAAGGCAGAGGGAAUGGACCCUGUGAAGCCUUAGCAACCUGUCACCAGACAAGGUGCUAAAUUCUACCCCGGGUAAUCGGGGAAAAAUAAGCA
rnacentral:ncRNA from 2 species